rnacentral:rRNA from 1 species
UACGUAGGGUGCAAGCGUUAAUCGGAAUUACUGGGCGUAAAGCGUGCGCAGGCGGCUUUGCAAGACAGAUGUGAAAUCCCCGGGCUCAACCUGGGAACUGCAUUUGUGACUGCAUCGCUGGAGUGCGGCAGAGGGAUGGAAUUCCGCGUGUAGCAGUGAAAAUGCGUAGAUAUGCGGAGGAACACCGAUGGCGAAGGCAAUCCCCUGGGCCUGCACUGACCGCUCAUGCACGAAAGCCGUAGGGG